CUUCUAACGGAGUUUGCCAUUAUAUAAAAAACCAUAUUGAUUCUUAUUCAGCUGCUUCUCAUAAUCUGAAUCACUGUUUUCAGAGAAAGGUGCAUAUAAAAAUCUGUCCUUAAGUAUUUUAGGAUUAUUUUAUUAGUUGUAUUACUUUUAUUGGCCCAGUGAGGAGUGAUGAUGCUUCAUAACAAAACGUUUUUUAAGUGGUCAAAAACAUGAGAAAAGCACUGUAUAAAUUCCAUGCCUCUGUAACAGUGUUUAUGUGGUAUUAUUCCACUUGCCACAAAUGUCAGUGUAAUGGGGAAACAGCGCCCCCCCUCUCGGUGUGGCUGGUUAGGGGAGGCUGGCUGCAGUAAUCGCUGCCAGUCUGCCGUAGCCAUACGAGAGUGUGCUGUGCGGAGUGGUGUGUGGCGAGCCUGUGCACUGAUAAAAAACACCAUUGUUUCCAUUCAGGAAAUAAAGUGGCAUCGAUCAGAGACUCAUUGUUUUCUUAAAACACAACACAACGCAGAGUCGAGGAGUCUGUUUGGGCCGAACUGUUGCAGUAGGAUGAAGCAGAAACCGGUUACACCUCUUCAAAGAAUAAUUGUUGUGCGCCUCCUGAAUAUACAGCAUUGGAGGAAAAAUUAAACACUCAGUAAACGACUGAUGGAGUCUCAUGCCAUAUAAAGUCAGGUCACGAGCAGUUGUGUAAGCAUUUCACUGGAUAUCGUACUGUGUAUGACUGUGUAUGUG